UCCGGAAAUUACUCAAUUGUUCCCAACUCUUCACGAAAACAAUUUUAAUUUCGUCCAGUUCUGCUCAUGUUCAACGUGAUAUCUCAGCAAACAUGCCGUCUCGAACUCUCUGCUCAUUACUCACGGUUGCAGCUCUUCUAACCGGGCGCUGUUAUGCAGAUUCUGUCUCACAAAGACCCGCCGCAAUCGCAGUGAAUGAGGGGGAUGAUGUCCUGUUAUUCUGUAAUUACACUGCUAAAAGAACCAGUGAUCCUUACCUCUUCUGGUACCGGCAGCAUUCCAGCGGCUCCAUGGAAUAUCUCCUAAAGAGAAACCAAUAUAUCAGCACCACAGACAGACUUCCAGGAGACCGUUUUUCCUCGACGUUGGAUCAUGUGAACCGCACUAUCCAGCUGAAUAUGUUGAAUACAGAACUUCCAGACUCUGCAGUGUAUUACUGCGCACUGAACCCCACAGAGACUCGGAACUGGGCUGACCCCGGACAAAAACUGUCAGAGAGCAAUUGAACAUGAUAGCAUGUCAAGGAAACAUUGAGAUCAGGGGCGGCUCU